ACGGGUGAGUAAUGUCUGGGAAACUGCCCGAUGGAGGGGGAUAACUACUGGAAACGGUAGCUAAUACCGCAUAACGUCGCAAGACCAAAGUGGGGGACCUUCGGGCCUCACACCAUCGGAUGUGCCCAGAUGGGAUUAGCUAGUAGGUGGGGUAAUGGCUCACCUAGGCGACGAUCCCUAGCUGGUCUGAGAGGAUGACCAGCCACACUGGAACUGAGACACGGUCCAGACUCCUACGGGAGGCAGCAGUGGGGAAUAUUGCACAAUGGGCGCAAGCCUGAUGCAGCCAUGCCGCGUGUAUGAAGAAGGCCUUCGGGUUGUAAAGUACUUUCAGCGGGGAGGAAGGCGGUGGAGUUAAUAGCUUCACCGAUUGACGUUACCCGCAGAAGAAGCACCGGCUAACUCCGUGCCAGCAGCCGCGGUAAUACGGAGGGUGCAAGCGUUAAUCGGAAUUACUGGGCGUAAAGCGCACGCAGGCGGUCUGUCAAGUCGGAUGUGAAAUCCCCGGGCUUAACCUGGGAACUGCAUUCGAAACUGGCAGGCUAGAGUCUUGCAGAGGGGGGUAGAAUUCCAGGUGUAGCGG
rnacentral:rRNA from 1 species